GAAGGUAUAGCUCAGUCACAGUGCAUGCUUAGCAUGCAUGAAUCCUGGGUUCAAUCCCCAGUACCUCUA
rnacentral:tRNA from 1 species